UGGGGAAUAUUGCACAAUGGGCGCAAGCCUGAUGCAGCAACGCCGCGUGAGGGACGACGGCCUUCGGGUUGUAAACCUCUUUUAGUAGGGAAGAAGCGAAAGUGACGGUACCUGCAGAAAAAGCACCGGCUAACUACGUGCCAGCAGCCGCGGUAAUACGUAGGGUGCGAGCGUUGUCCGGAAUUAUUGGGCGUAAAGAGCUCGUAGGCGGUCUGUCGCGUCUGCUGUGAAAACCCGAGGCUCAACCUCGGGCCUGCAGUGGGUACGGGCAGACUAGAGUGCGGUAGGGGAGAAUGGAAUUCCUGGUGUAGCGGUGGAAUGCGCAGAUAUCAGGAGGAACACCGAUGGAGAAGGCAGUUCUCUGGGCCGUAACUGACGCUGAGGAGCGAAAGCGUGGGGAGCGAACAGGAUUAGAUACCCUGGUAGUCCACGCCGUAAACGUUGGGCGCUAGAUGUGGGGACCAUUCCACGGUUUCCGUGUCGCAGCUAACGCAUUAAGCGCCCCGCCUGGGGAGUACGGCCGCAAGGCUAAAACUU
rnacentral:rRNA from 1 species